UACAGAGGUGGCAAGCGUUGUUCGGAAUUACUGGGCGUAAAGCGCGCGUAGGCGGGCGGUCAAGUCGGUGGUGAAAGCCCGGAGCUUAACUUUGGAAGUGCGUGCGAUACUGGCGGACUGGAGGACUGUAGGGGAGAGUGGAAUUCCUGGUGUAGCGGUGAAAUGCGUAGAUAUCAGGAGGAACACCAGUGGCGAAGGCGGGUCUCUGGGCAGUACCUGACGCUGAGGAGCGAAAGCGUGGGGAGCGAACAGG
rnacentral:rRNA from 1 species